AGUGAACGCUGGCGGUAGGCCUAACACAUGCAAGUCGAACGGCAGCACAGUAAGAGCUUGCUCUUACGGGUGGCGAGUGGCGGACGGGUGAGGAAUACAUCGGAAUCUACUUUUUCGUGGGGGAUAACGUAGGGAAACUUACGCUAAUACCGCAUACGACCUACGGGUGAAAGCAGGGGAUCUUCGGACCUUGCGCGAUUGAAUGAGCCGAUGUCGGAUUAGCUAGUUGGCGGGGUAAAGGCCCACCAAGGCGACGAUCCGUAGCUGGUCUGAGAGGAUGAUCAGCCACACUAGAACUGAGACACGGUCCAGACUCCUAAGAGAGGCAGCAGUGGGGAAUAUUGGACAAUGGGCGCAAGCCUGAUCCAGCCAUACCGCGUGGGUGAAGAAGGCCUUCGGGUUGUAAAGCCCUUUUGUUGGGAAAGAAAAGCAGCAGGUUAAUACCCCGCUGUUCUGACGGUACCCAAAGAAUAAGCACCGGCUAACUUCGUG
rnacentral:rRNA from 1 species